CUUAGCUAGACACUGGACAAGCACCAGCCCAGCGCUUGACAAAGACUCAUCUGUCGGUCGAAAUGUUGCGGUGUUCCCCUUGUUCCAAUAUUUGUGCCUUUAGAGCAUUGGAGUGCUUGGACUUUCUUUCUUUAACUGGUUUAGAAUAAAGAUAUUUAUCUUUGAUGGACUAGCAGAAAUUGCCUGCCCUGGGCUGAGUCUGAUGGGAGUUUACUUUGGAGAAUGUGAAAUGUACAUUGCUGGAGAAUAC